UCUUUCCGCACAGAGGGUAGACGUUAACUGUCGAUGCUUAGAGUUCAGAUCUUCCUAGGCAUGUGUGUGGACCUACAAAAUUUUUGUGAUCUUGAACUUUCCAGCUUCCUUCUGCUUGUGGGCACAAACCCUCCAAUUGCAAUCCGACACCUCGCACACAACUGUGUAACAUCGCUCGACAUACGAACGUCUCACCUUGAAUGUUCUUUUAUGCUUCACUGAGUAUUCCUAUAGCUAUCGUUCAGCUCCUGGUGGUGCUACGGGGGUGACUGCGGGGGCGACUGCGGCUGGUGGCUGUUGUCCUCAUCGACCAUCUCGGCGACGUCCUACUCGAGCGAGAUCUCGCUGCAGUCCCUCGAGAUCUGCAGAACUAAUAUGUUGCAGGAGGAGAUUGACAAGGAGAUUGAGGACAAGAAGACAGAGCUGGAGCCCAAGGUCGUGGAGGCCUACGAAGCAUCUCCUCCUGAGGUCAAGGCUCUGUUCAAGGAUAAGAAGCCAGUCAAGGUCAUCAAGAAGAACUCGGCUGCAGUCACCAAGUUCCUCGAUGAGCUGGCUAAGAUUGGCCGCACUUGAAGAAAUCUUAUAUCAGUUUGAGGAAAAACUCCAAGCUGAAAAAGUGGAAGCUGCUAGGAAGCAGGAAGAGUUGCAAUCUGUUUGAUGCCUUUUCUAGAACAUAUCUGUGGUUAGAACUUUGUCAGAACUACGUGCAAUCUGUUUCAAUGCUUCAAACCUUUGUGGUGGAACCUUUGUAUGUUUGAACCUCUGUUGUGGAAGAACUAGUGUGCUGGAAUUGUGUAUGACUUGUGAUGAGAAUGUUGUGUAUGAUAGCUUUUCUGUGUAUUAUGA